rnacentral:sRNA from 1 species
GGCAUCUCACAUCAUCUCACAAUCAUCCAUACACCACAAAACAUUCUUAAAAGAGUCCCAACACAUCCCGAAGUUGUUGGUCGGAAAGGGGGUGCGGCUCGGCGAGUAUAACUCGACCGAACUGAUGCGCAUGCUACCUCCCGGUCCAACGGUUUGAUGGAGUGUAGAGGAUGGAGAGGGUAGACCGUUCGUCUUAGAGACGAAUCGGAUCUGGUAGACCGAUCGUCGGAUCGGAUCAGCCAGACCGAUCGUGGGACGGAUCGGAUCGGCCAGACGGAUUGGAUCGGACAGACCGAUCGUCGGACGGGUCGGAUGGGACAGGCCGAUCGUCUGACGGAACGGGUCGAACAGACCGAUCGUCGGAUGGGAUGGAUCAAGAAAAGUGUUUGAGGAAGCACAAGGAUAAGUGCAUCCGAACACACCCAAGGGUCGCCCAUGGAUGCAAUCUUACCGGUAAAGGGAGAAAGCACCAAGAAUGGGUAAGGAACGUGAUUCACCAUAUGGGAUCAAUAUCGCGGCUGCCUUCAUGUAUCUAUCUCCUCAGCCAUGAUGAAACCGAUCGAAGAUCGGUAAGACCAAAGGGUGACUCGACGGAUAACCAACGGGAAAGUCCACGGUGGGAACCGAUGGACAAAACGGAUGUUGGACCCACGAGCAAACCUAAGGCCGACGGAGGAAAGAUUUCAUGGGCUAGCCUACGAUGAUCCGGUGGUUGAAUCCACGGACCCUUGGGUGUGAUAAGGAUAUCGUUCGGACCGCAUGGAUGGAUCAUUAAGCCGAAAGCUUUAUCGACCACCAUGGACCGGACGGGUAAACGGUUAGUAAACCGUGGGCGGUCGUAGUGUUAAACGACCGAAACGGAAACAUGGAUGGUUUUAUAAGCCGAGGGCUCAAUCGUCCACCAUGUAGCCGGAGGGGCGUACGUUUGGUGAACGAAUGGACCAAUAAGCCAAGAGCUUGAUUCGGCCAUCGUGAACCAAGGGAAUCGUACGAUCCCCAAUCUCUAUCGUUGUACUUAGACCAGUGGGGUUGGUUGGUUGUAUGGCUAAGUAACGAUAGGGAUUGGUUCAUCAAUUCACGAUCGGAUACGAGUCGUUGAACGAAUGGAGUAAGGCGACAAACGGGCUAAGGAAUCAAAUCCGCAUAUUGGCCAAGGUAUGUAACGAUCUAGCUUAUUAGUUAAGAUAGACGUUUGGUAAUUGACCGUGAAAGUAGGAUAAAGGAAUAUGCGAUUGUUUGGCUUAGAAUGGUUAGCGAACAUAUGCAUGUCUUGACCGAGUAAAGGAUCGAUCUAAGUCUAAGGGACAAAGACGAUGAAACCGGUACAAGAGUUGGUUAGAACUAAACCAAGGUUAGAAAGACUUUCGUUGUGUAAUAAGAGAGCGAUUAUAGAAUUAAACCUCGUAAAGGCAAUUCUAUGUUGAAUCGCGAAAAAUUAAGAGGUUCGGCCGAGAAGAGGCGCGAACUUGAGUACACGGUCGCCGGACGCCGAGACGUCCGGGACUGGGUCUCACAGGUGGCUCAAGUAAUUUGAUUU